GGACAUCCAUAUAUUUAUUUUUUAUUAUGCCACAGGAAGAUUCUCUGAGAAGCACAGAACAGGUGCUGAAAGAAUGAGUCAAUUCUAGUCUCCCAGGAAUGCAGAAAAGCUAAUGACAGAUGGUGACCAUCCAGCCACAAAAGGCUGUGAUGCUUCUCUCCUCCUCCCCUCUCUCCCUGAACCCAGCUACUGAGAAGGCAAGGAUAUAAACAGAGAUGAGGAAGCCAACUGCAUGUCUCCUCCACAGUAAGGUUUCUAGACCUGAAGCAGUACAAGCUGGUGGGAGCAUAUUACAAAGUGAGAAUGAAGGCUCUACCUGAGGAAGACAUCUCAGCAAUUCCUGUAACCAAGUCCCCAACCCAAGUGGGCCUUUAAGGUGCUGCCUUCUCAAAUGAGCUUUCUCUGACCUUUCCAUGAGGUGCUUUGGAAAUGAAGAGAUAUCAGGGACAUACAGAGAAAAAGUCACAAUAAGCACACAGCAAGAAGAUGACCAUCUGCAAGCUGAGGAGAGAGGCUUCAGGACAAACCCAUCUGCCAAUACCUUGAUCUUGGACUCCCAGCCUCCAGAACUGUGAAAAAAUAAAUUUCUGUUGUGUAAGCCACCCAGUCUGUGGUACUCUGUUAUGGCCAUCUAGCUAAUGAAUAUAGAUAAGGACAGAAAAUCAGAGUAAACAUUUAGA